AGGCCAGCAUAUUGGUGAUGCUGCAUAGGCACCUGGGGCUCCAAGACAUCCAUAGGUGCUACAAUGUAAGUUUAAGAGAGACCCUCUCCUCUGGGACUAUCCUUAGCAAGGUGAUUCUGGCUUUGCCUUGCAUCUCUGUUAAUGAUUACAGAUUUCUUGAUGAGAGGAUGAACUACUAAGAUGUUACAGGUGCUUCCUGCCCACCCAUCUGCCCCAGGUGCUGUAAUCAUAAAAGAGGUCAGUGGUUUGUCUGGCCAGUGUGUUUUUGUCUCCUGAUCGAACGCCAAAUAGCUCAAAAGGAGUCCAUCCUCCUGUCUCGGAGGAGGAAGCAAUCUUUACCCCAGCUGAUGGUAUCUCUUCUCCUUGCUGUCUUGAAACAUCAGGAGGUGCAUCUCUUACAGAGAUGACUGCAAAGAGAAGAAGUUGGGUGAGGUAUUUCUACAGAAAUAGCAAAAAAUAAAAUCCUGACUCAGCCCUGGGACCUCUCUAGCUCGGUUUUGCAUCCAUGGCUUGCAGCUUCAAAGGAAAAAUGAAACCUCCAGCACAGCCAGCCUUGUAUUAGGACUCGGUGGAGGAGAGGGGAGCAUCCCAAUGUGGCAGAGAGACUGGUGUAAACUAGGCUGAAGGUAAAGCAAGCAAGCAUUCCCCUUCCACCAAGAGCUGGUUGUCCCAGGAGGGAAAGAUGCAGCUGUAAUGGGGUGCGCUCUCACUUCUAUUUCUCCUCUCUGUUCACACAAUGUUUAGUCUUUCCUGGGCACUCCUAAACUUUCUUAAUUAGUCUUAAUGUCUUCCACCCAUGGGUGUCUCUUUUAAACUGCUGUGCUCUUGUCUCAGUUGCAUCCAGGGAAAUAAGGCCUUUCCCUGCACCCAGCCGCCUGCAAGUGCUUAAAGGCUAAUUCUUGGGUGCAUAACUGGAGAAUAACCACAAAUGGUGACCCCACGCUGUGGUGUUCGCUGCUUUGCACCUUAUGGAUUGAUACCUCAAUGCAAGAGGAAGAAAUCAAACAGGCCUGAAAUAUUUUCUUCGGGGGGAUUGACCUGAAUUUUGGCUUCCCGUUGUGUUUAGGGCAGUCUGAGCCUUCCAACAUCAAGCAGAAAAGCAAAGCAGUUUGGGGCUAGGUUGUUUGGCAUGGAAAAAAA